rnacentral:rRNA from 1 species
CAGUCGCCGCGGUAAUACGUAGGGUGCAAGCGUUAAUCGGAAUUACUGGGCGUAAAGCGUGCGCAGGCGGUUUGUUAAGACAGAUGUGAAAUCCCCGGGCUCAACCUGGGAACUGCAUUUGUGACUGGCAGGCUAGAGUAUGGCAGAGGGGGGUGGAAUUCCGCGUGUAGCAGUGAAAUGCGUAGAUAUGCGGAGGAACACCGAUGGCGAAGGCAGCCCCCUGGUCCAAUACUGACGCUCAUGCACGAAAGCGUGGGGAGCAAACAGGAUUAGAUACCCGCGUAGUCCCUGUCUCUUAUAC